UGCCCUCCCACUGGCAGAAGGUCUUACUGCGAAAGCAGAGGAUCUUCUGCCUCCUCCUGGCCUGUAACGACGCCAAAGAUGAGCUCGCGGGGGGGGCUUAUGACAGCAGAAGGGGAGGUCGUGGAGGUCAGUAUCUGUGGUCCCAUCAGAACCGAUACUGCUUUAGCUUUUCAAAGAAACCGUUAUUGUUUUCAUGCAUUUACGAGUCAAAAUUGUUGUCAAACACUAAGUUGUGGGAACAUGAACGACCAUUAUUUUAUCAUUUGUCUUUCUUCAUACAGUCCAUUUCCAUCAUGCCUACAUACAUUUGUAUUGUAUGGGCUAGAUUACACUUUCUGUGCUCGCUAACAAUGAUGGGAUGAUUAGAUUAUUGUUUUAAAUGCAGACAAACGGGUUUAGUGAGUGUAACGUAUACAAUGAAAACAAGAGGAACAAUGGAAAGAGUCGACAUGUAAUGUAGUGAAAGCUGUCGCUGAAGGGUUUAAAGGAAAAUGCUCAAAUGUGUUGUGUGUCCAACGUGUUUGUAGAUUCAAGAAACAAACACCUCACAGAUCAAUACGUUCACUAUAACUGACAUUAAUUUAUAGGACUUUUCUGUGUUUGGCAGUGAGGAAGGUUGUCAGGGAAACGACACGUUCCUAUAAAACCUGCAGCUGAAGCAGGUGAUGGUGCAGCUGAAGUGUGACAGCUGAAAGUCCUCUGGUACAUUUGGUGGUAGGAUGGUUGAACAGUGACAGUCUCCCUGUGGAGGGAGGCAGCAUUCACCACUUUGUGACCACAUAAAGGUCUCCCAUGUGAAGCUGAACCAGUGUGCUUAUGGUCCACAGCUGCGCAUCAUUGACGAAGACUGUGGUAUGAAGAAGCCAUAUGUUCGUACCAACAUGUAACAGCAAUGUCACAUUAACAAAAUAUUUAGAAUGAUAGGUUUUGAAAUGUAAACAGAUGCACUGUGUUGGUCAAAAUAUGACAUCAUACUAUCCAGAAAUGAUUUCAUCAUCUGUUGUUUUUAAUGUUUGAUCAACUGUAUUCUAAGCUGCCUGUUGUGUAUGUGCAGCUGUUUUAACACAACACCUGUAUUAAAAUGUUAAUGACAGGCCACUAAA